rnacentral:tRNA from 1 species
UCCCGGGUGGCUCAGAUGGUAAAGCUUCUGCCUGCAGUGCAGGAGACCCGGGUUCGAUCCCUGGGUUGGGGA